GCUGAUGGAGCAAAGAGGCGAAUUCUAGAUUCAUGUUGUUGUUUUUUGUGUUUUUUUUUUUUUUGUGAUUCCCAUAGGGAUGUAUGUUUGUUUCCUUUGGAUCCCGUUGGGAUUUAAAUUUCUGUAUGCUCCAAGAGCUGAUGGAGCGAAGAGGCGAUGAGCUGGUGAGCCGAUGAGCUGAUGAACCGAUGAACUACGGGAAACGAUAGAGCAUGGAAGCCAAUCGUUGAACCACUUGAGGGCUGUGCUAUAUACUUUUCUGAAAAUUUCAAUACUAUCUCGGUUCAAUGGCUCCACGCCUCCUUUUUCGAUCAGAUCUGAGAACAUUCACUCCAAGCAGCCUUCACUCCAUAUUAGUUCCUCUUUUAGAUCUAAUUUUCCUCAUGUAGUCUCUAUCAAACUUGGUGGCGUCGGAUCUCUUAGCUUGGCAGCUCUUAUAUCACCCACCGUGGUAGCGCAUAGAUCAGCCAUCGUAGUGGCGCCUAGCUCAACAACAAUGACAAAAGUAUCUGAAAACAGAUCGCCAAGCAACGUAGAGCAUACAGGAACAGAGCUUCUUCAUUGGAGAUCUCAAAUGUCUUCGUUGAGGUCUCGUUGGUGCUCUCUCCGGCGGUAGAUUUCUUCAUCCUUUCCUCCGGCCAUGGCAUCGUCGUGAUCAGCGGCAUUUUAUCCAGCCAGCGGGGUCAGAAGCCGUCGGGCCUUCUUCCUCACUGACCUGCAUCUCGUCGUUUUCAUCAAACAAACGCCUGGAGAAGAAAUUUGAAGGAGAAGUUUUGUUUGCAAGACAUGGCUUCUCGGGAACAGGGAGCAUCUCUCUCGUCGCCGGAUCUGGCGGCGAUUUGUAGAGCUCAUCCUCGUUUCCGGUAGUAGCGUUCCGAUCGGAGAUAUGAGUUUUUGUAUGCUCCAAGAGCUGAUGGAGUGAAGAGGCGAGACGCCUCAUAAGCGAGACGCAACAUAAGCGAAAUGCCUCACAAGCGGGGCGCCUCACAGGCGAGACGCCUCACAGAGGGNAGGGACACCUCACAAAUGAGACGCCACACAGGGGGGCGCUUCAAAAAUUAGACGCUCCAAGAGCUGUUAGAGCGAAGAGCUGAAGAGCUGGUGAGCCGAUGAGACGAUGAAAUAUGAGAGGCGAUAGAGCAUGGAAGCAAAUCGUUGAACCACUUGAGGGCUGUGCUAGAUACUUUUCAAAUUUUUGUAUGCUCCAAGAGCUGAUGGAGUGAAGAGGCGAGACGC
rnacentral:lncRNA from 1 species